AAUAGAUACCCGGGUAGUCCACGCCGUAAACGAUGAGUGCUAAGUGUUAGAGGGUUUCCGCCCUUUAGUGCUGCAGCUAACGCAUUAAGCACUCCGCCUGGGGAGUACGGUCGCAAGACUGAAACUCAAAGGAAUUGACGGGGGCCCGCACAAGCGGUGGAGCAUGUGGUUUAAUUCGAAGCAACGCGAAGAACCUUACCAGGUCUUGACAUCCCACUGACCCGGUAUAGAGAUAUACCUUUCCCUUCGGGGACAGUGGUGACAGGUGGUGCAUGGUUGUCGUCAGCUCGUGUCGUGAGAUGUCGGGUUAAGUCCCGCAACGAGCGCAACCCUUGAUCUUAGUUGCCAGCAUUUAGUUGGGCACUCUAAGGUGACUGCCGGUGGCAAACCGGAGGAAGGUGGGGAUGACGUCAAAUCAUCAUGCCCCUUAUGACCUGGGCUACACACGUGCUACAAUGGAUGGUACAAAGGGCUGCAAGACUGCGAAGUCAAGCCAAUCCAUAAACCAUUCUCAGUUCGGAUUGCAGG
rnacentral:rRNA from 1 species